AGUUUAAGCCCACUGCACACUUCCACUGUCCCUCCUGCAAACGAUUAUUAGAAAGAAGAGACCGGUUUGUAGACCAUUUGGGACAGUGCGUCCAACAAGCUGUUGAAGAGGAGCAGGAGCAGCAGGAGGCCAAAGAGGAGUAGGGGGAGGAGGAGCAGCAGCAUCAGCAGGAGGCCAAAGGGGAGCAGCAUCAGCAGGAGGCCAAAGGGGAGCAGCUUGAUGAAGUGGUCUCUUUUCUAUUUGGAAUCCUUAAGGACACACCAGGAGCAAGACAACUUCUAGAUCACGUUGCCUUUGUCUUUGACGUGCUUUUGCCUGAGACAGUUAUCUACAGCCUGGUGGAGGUGCACUCCCUGUCAGUACAAAAAGCCACUGAGAUGUAUAAACAGGGCCCACAAUAUGAACCAUGUGAGUGGGACCUGUUUCAAAUCUGCCUCCAGAGAAAUCUGAGCGCGGAGGCCACCAAAAGGCUUCAGGAGUUUAAACAAAAAAUGAGAAAAGCCCUCCAAUCAGAAACAUUUAUAAAUCUAUUGUAAAUGUAUGAAAAAAAUAGGUGCCUGUUAAGGAUAUACAAUAAUGAUGAGCAGUUUUGGUCUCAAAUAGUUUUAUUUUUCUUCUGCAGAGGGAUCAGUUCUUACACAGCAUGUAGAUUUUUGUAAGAAAUGACACAUCUGACUGAGUGAGUGAGGGUUUUAUAGUAUAGACCAAACAAUUGGUUCUCCUGGAAAUUAAUACCAAAACAUGGUCAUGCAUAGGGAGCUUGUUUAUACCUCUGUUCUCAGAUUUAUUUAUUUUUUUUACCACUGAGCAUGUAUGCUUCAGUAACUUUA